AUGAACGCUGGCGACGUGUCUAAGGCAUGCAAGUCGAGGGGUCCGUAGCAAUACGGACACCGGCAAACGGGUGCGUAACACAUUGGUAACUUACCCCGAAGUCAUGAAUAAGCCUGCGAAAGCGGGUCUAAUACAUGAUGGAAGCGAGGGGACUAAAGUCAUUCUCGCUUAAAGAUUUAUCGCUUCGGGAAAGGCCUAUGGCUUAUCAGCUAGUUGGUGAGGUAAUGGCUCACCAAGGCUAUGACGAGUAGCGGGAUUGAGAGAUCGACCCGCCUCACUGGGACUGAGAUACUGCCCAGACUCCUACGGGAGGCUGCAGUCAAGAAUAUUCCCCAAUGGCCGCAAGGCUGAGGGAGCGACGUCGCGUGCAUGAAGAAGCCCCUCGGGGUGUAAACUGCUUUUAUAUGGGAAGAAUUUUUGACGGUACCAUAUGAAUAAGAGGUUGCAAACUCUGU
rnacentral:rRNA from 1 species